GAGAGCCGUGUGAUAGGUGACUAUCCAGCACGGUUUCGGCGAGCACCUUUUUUAGUCCGCGCUGAUGAAUGGAAGCCGCCAAUCAAGCAAGAAACAAGUGGCUCUUUCGACGGCGUUGUCACCAUUGACUCUCU
rfam:Populus trichocarpa isolate Nisqually-1 chromosome 4, whole genome shotgun sequence.